CGGCGAGUGAAGCGGCAAAAGCUCAAAUUUGAAAUCUGGCUCCUUCGGGGUCCGAGUUGUAAUUUGUAGAGGAUGCUUCGGGUGCGGCCACGGCCUAAGUUCCUUGGAACAGGACGUCAUAGAGGGUGAGAAUCCCGUCUUGGGUCGUUGGUCCACGCCCGUGUGAAGCUCCUUCGACGAGUCGAGUUGUUUGGGAAUGCAGCUCUAAGCGGGUGGUAAAUUUCAUCUAAAGCUAAAUAUUGGCCGGAGACCGAUAGCGCACAAGUAGAGUGAUCGAAAGGUUAAAAGCACCUUGAAAAGGGAGUUAAACAGCACGUGAAAUUGUUGAAAGGGAAGCGCUUGCGGCCAGACUCAGGCGCAGGGUUCAGCGGGUGCGUGUCACCCGUGCACUCCCUGCCGCCUGGGCCAGCAUCAGUUCUGACGGUCGGUCAAAGGCCCCCGGAAUGUGUCGUCUCUCGGGACGUCUUAUAGCCGGGGGUGCAAUGCGGCCCGUCGGGACUGAGGAACGCGCUUCGGCUCGGAUGCUGGCAUAAUGGCCGUAAGCGGCCCGUCUUGAAACACGGACCAAGGAGUCUAACAUCCACGCGAGUGUUCGGGUGUCAAACCCGUGCGCGCAGUGAAAGCGAACGGAGGUGGGAGCCUUAGGGCGCACCAUCGACCGAUCCUGAAGUCUUCGGAUGGAUUUGAGUAGGAGCGUGGCCGUUGGGACCCGAAAGAUGGUGAACUAUGCCUGAAUAGGGUGAAGCCAGAGGAAACUCUGGUGGAGGCUCGCAGCGGUUCUGACGUGCAAAUCGAUCGUCAAAUUUGGGCAUAGGGGCGAAAGACUAAUCGAACCAUCUAGUAGCUGGUUCCUGCCGAAGUUUCCCUCAGGAUAGCAGUAACGAAAUUCCAGUUUUAUGAGGUAAAGCGAAUGAUUAGAGGCCUUGGGGUUGAAACAACCUUAACCUAUUCUCAAACUUUAAAUAUGUAAGAAGCCCUUGUUUCUUAAGUGAACGUGGGCACUAGAAUGGAACGUUACUAGUGGGCCAUUUUUGGUAAGCAGAACUGGCGAUGCGGGAUGAACCGAACGCGAGGUUAAGGUGCCGGAAUGCACGCUCAUCAGACACCACAAAAGGUGUUAGUUCAUCUAGACAGCCCGACGGUGGCCAUGGAAGUCGGAAUCCGCUAAGGAGUGUGUAACAACUCACGGGCCGAAUGAACUAGCCCUGAAAAUGGAUGGCGCUCAAGCGUGCUACCCAUACCUCGCCGCCGGGGUUGAAAUGAUGCCCCGGCGAGUAGGCAGGCGUGGAGGUCCGUGACGAA
rnacentral:rRNA from 1 species